GAACGCGAAGAACCUUACCAGGUCUUGACAUCCCUCUGACCGCUCUAGAGAUAGAGCUUUCCUUCGGGACAGAGGUGACAGGUGGUGCAUGGUUGUCGUCAGCUCGUGUCGUGGGAUGUUGGGUUAAGUCCCGCAACGAGCGCAACCCCUAUUGUUAGUUGCCAUCAUUCAGUUGGGCACUCUAGCGAGACUGCCGGUAAUAAACCGGAGGAAGGUGGGGAUGACGUCAAAUCAUCAUGCCCCUUAUGACCUGGGCUACACACGUGCUACAAUGGCUGGUACAACGAGUCGCAAGCCGGUGACGGCAAGCUAAUCUCUUAAAGCCAGUCUCAGUUCGGAUUGUAGGCUGCAACUCGCCUACAUGAAGUCGGAAUCGCUAGUAAUCGCGGAUCAGCACGCCGCGGUGAAUACGUUCCCGGGUCUUGUACACACC
rnacentral:rRNA from 1 species